rnacentral:rRNA from 1 species
CGGACGGGUGAGUAACGCGUGGAAAACCUGCCGUAUACUGGGGGAUAACACUUAGAAAUAGGUGCUAGUACCGCAUAAGCGCACAGCUUCGCAUGAAGCGGUGUGAAAAACUCUGGUGGUAUACGAUGGUUCCGCGUCUGAUUAGCUAGUUGGUGGGGUAAUGGCCUACCAAGGCAACGAUCAGUAGCCGGCCUGAGAGGGUGAACGGCCACAUUGGGACUGAGACACGGCCCAAACUCCUACGGGAGGCAGCAG